UACAGAGGGUGCGAACGUUGCUCGGAAUUACUGGGCGUAAAGCGCGUGUAGGCGGGGUCGCAAGUCAGAUGUGAAAUCCCUGGGCUCAACCCAGGAACUGCAUCUGAAACUGCGAUCCUUGAGUACUGGAGAGGGUGGCGGAAUUCCUGGUGUAGAGGUGAAAUUCGUAGAUAUCAGGAGGAACACCGGUGGCGAAGGCGGCCACCUGGACAGUAACUGACGCUGAGACGCGAAAGCGUGGGGAACAAACAGG
rnacentral:rRNA from 1 species